CUGCUUGCUUUACCAGCACAUAUUAUUAAAAUUGGAAAGAUGCAGGGAAGUUUAACAUGAUUCUUGUGCAAGGGUGACAAAUUCAUGAAGUGUUCCACUUUUAA
ensembl:snRNA U6 U6 spliceosomal RNA